CGGCGGACGGGUGAGUAACACGUGGAUAACCUACCUAUAAGACUGGGAUAACUUCGGGAAACCGGAGCUAAUACCGGAUAAUAUAUUGAACCGCAUGGUUCAAUAGUGAAAGACGGUUUUGCUGUCACUUAUAGAUGGAUCCGCGCCGCAUUAGCUAGUUGGUAAGGUAACGGCUUACCAAGGCAACGAUGCGUAGCCGACCUGAGAGGGUGAUCGGCCACACUGGAACUUAGACACGGUCCAG
rnacentral:rRNA from 1 species